CGGGGGGAGCAAGCGUUGUUCGGAUUUACUGGGCGUAAAGGGCGCGUAGGCGGCCACCGCAAGUCGACUGUGAAAUCUCCGGGCUUAACCCGGAAAGGUCAGCCGAUACUGCGGGGCUAGAGUGCAGAAGGGGCAACUGGAAUUCUCGGUGUAGCGGUGAAAUGCGUAGAUAUCGAGAGGAACACCUGCGGCGAAGGCGGGUUGCUGGGCUGACACUGACGCUGAUGCGCGAAAGCUAGGGGAGCGAACGGGAUUAGAUACCCCGGUAGUCCUAGCCUUAAACGAUGAAUGCUUGGUGUCUGGGGUUUAUAGCCCCCGGGUGCCGUCGCUAACGCUUUAAGCAUUCCGCCUGGGGAGUACGGUCGCAAGACUG
rnacentral:rRNA from 1 species